AGACUUUGAUCGUGGCUCAGCAUCAACGCUGGCGGCGUGCCUAACACAUGCAAGUCGAACGAGAAAGGGGGAGCAAUCCCUGAGUAAAGUGGCGACCGGGUGAGUAACACGUGACUAACCUACCCUAGAGUGGGGGAUAACCUCGGGAGACCCGGGCUAAUACCGCAUAACAUCUUCGGGAUGAAAAGCUGAAGAUCAAAGGAACAUUCGCUUUUGGAGGGGGUCGCGGCUGAUUAGCUAGUUGGCGGGGUAACGGCCCACCAAGGCUUUGAUCGGUAUCCGGCCUGAGAGGGCGCACGGACACACUGGAACUGAAACCCGGUCCAGACUCCUACGGGAGGCAGCAGUGGGGAAUUUUGCGCAAUGGGGGAAACCCUGACGCAGCAACGCCGCGUGGAGGAUGAAGUCCCUUGGGACGUAAACUCCUUCGACCCGGACGAUAAUGACGGUACGGUGAAGAGCCCCGAC
rnacentral:rRNA from 1 species